AAGAACUAGUUGAACGUGUAUUUUGCAUGAAGAUCUGCAUUUUUACCCAUACAAAUUGGUCAUUAGGCAACAGUUGAAACCAUGGGACUAUGCACAGCAUCUUAACUUCACAUGUCAGACAGAAGCAAAUUUUGAGGCAAAUGACAACCUCAUUUUGUUAAUGAGUAAUGAAGCUCAUUUUCAUUUCAAUAACAUGGUGAAUCAACAGAACUGUCAUUAUUGGGCUCUUGAAAACUGAGAGAACUGCACAAAAGACCACUGCACAGCCCAAAAGUGAUG